CGCGAAAAUGGUUGAGCUAAGUAAAAAUUAAUUCUUAGAUUUUUUUAUGUGGCAUAAUAUAGUUAAAUAAUUACUUAGGGGUGAGAGGCCUAUCAAAUCUAUAGAUAUCUCGAUACUUUUGACACACAUAUAGUGUACUAACAAUUAGAUAGUGACAAGGCUAUCUAGUUUCAUGAAUUGAUUGUCCCAUUUGAAUUAUGGUUUAAUCGCCUAAUGCUUUAAUGUGUUAACAUGUGUUUAUUUUAUUUGUGUUUACUAAAAAGUACCAUUCAAAUAACCUCAAAUGCUUAUAAUGUAGUUAUUAGUAAUUUAAUAGUUACUUAACAUGAACUCGGCAACAUACCUUUCAACUGUUUAUCAAAAACAUAGUUAUGAGAACAUAUUCAUAAUAGUUUCUGCUCCAUGACGUAUUAAAUAGCCGCAGUACUCUGACUGUGCAAAGGUAGCGUAAUAAUUUGACUUAUAAUUGAAGUCUCGUAUGAAUGAAUAUAUGGGGGGUAUCUUUAUUUUCUGUACAAAAUGAAUUUAAUGAUUAAGUGCAAAUUCUUAUAUCCAAAGAUAGACGAGAAGACCCUAGAAAUUUUUAUUAUGUGGAAAAUUUGUUUUUGUUGGGGCAACAAAGUAACAAGUAACUUACUGUACUACACAAGAAUAUUAUAUAUGUUAGAUUAAAUUACUCUAGGGAUAACAGCGUAAUUUAAAAAAGUUUGCGACCUCGAUGUUGGACUAGGGAACAAAUGCUUAGAA
rnacentral:rRNA from 1 species